rnacentral:lncRNA from 1 species
GGGAAAAUAAACAAGGAACUUGAUGUAAUCACAGGAUAAUGAGUUAUUGGGAAGACAUUUUUGAAAUCAAGAUUCGGAUAAACCCAGAUUCUAACAACAUAUGGAGUCUGCUGGGAAAUAAAAACAGCAGUUGUUUCUAAAGGGCAACCCGCUUGUUGCAGAUGGACCGUGUGCCUCUCGGGGAAAGGGGAGAAAACACGUUUCCUGUGUUGACAUCAGGGUGGUCUUCUCCUUAGCUUGUGAAGAGUCAGUUUCUCACAGCACAGAGGGAGAGAAAGGAAGUCCCAAAAGCCCCCAGUUCCCUCCACAAGAGUGUGAAGCAACAGCUUAGGAGCAAUUGAAUCUGUAGCAUCUUUGGGCUCACAGGGAAUGGGAAUGGUCUCCGGGCUUCAUUGCUAAGGAAGAGUCCUGUUCCUUCCUGGAAACCCAGCCUGGGUGGCCACCAAUCUGCACAAAGUGGAUGAGCUGGCACAUGUAGCAGCAGUGUCUGCAGUGCAGAGGCCUAAGACUGUCUUCUGUAUCAGAAGGGUGGGACAGAAACAGCCACUGAGUGAACUGCAUGCCUCCUAGACAUGAGGAGACGUCUCUGCGAACUGCUCCAGGGAUCUAUCUGCCCUACUUUUAAGCCAGACAGAAAAGUGGAUAGAAACUGCCAUCCCAACAAAUCUACUUAUUGGCUCAACAUGGAAUGACUAUUAUGUUACUCUCACACUUCAAUCUAAAGACAUGGUCACUACGAAAUUUAAAACUUCUCCAGCAGUGAAGUUGGAACCUUGUGACCUGUGCCCAACAGACUGUGAGCAAAGCAAUGUGUUUUCCUGAGCUAGCUAAGGCAGUUCCCACGAGUGAACCUCCCUGAGCUGCAGAGACCUCAAAUGCACUUUUUUAGUUGGCCUGACAAUGGAGAAGACUGUUUAACAUACAUCUGAUAGUAUGAGUGUGGAAAAUAAUUCAUGAUCAUAUUUAUCACUGGAUUUCCAAGUUUGUACUUGAGGCCCUUAUGUUCAAUGCCCUUACUAAUGUAG